rnacentral:rRNA from 1 species
GGGUACUCGAGCGGCGAACGGGUGAGUAACACGUGAGUAAUCUGCCCUUGGCUUCGGGAUAGCCACCGGAAACGGUGAUUAAUACCGGAUACGACACAUCACUGCAUGGUGCGUGUGUGGAAAGUUUUUUCGGCCAGGGAUGUGCUCGCGGCCUAUCAGCUUGUUGGUGGGGUAAUGGCCUACCAAGGCUUCGACGGGUAGCCGGCCUGAGAGGGUGACCGGCCACACUGGGACUGAGACACGGCCCAGACUCCUACGGGAGGCAGCAGUGGGGAAUAUUGGACAAUGGGCGGAAGCCUGAUCCAGCAACGCCGCGUGAGGGAUGACGGCCUUCGGGUUGUAAACCUCUUUCAGCACAGACGAAGCGCAAGUGACGGUAUGUGCAGAAGAAGGACCGGCCAACUACGUGCCAGCAGCCGCGGUAAUACGUAGGGUCCGAGCGUUGUCCGGAAUUAUUGGGCGUAAAGGGCUCGUAGGCGGUUUGUCGCGUCGGGAGUGAAAACACCGGGCUUAACUCGGUGCUUGCUUUCGAUACGGGCAGACUAGAGGUAUUCAGGGGAGAACGGAAUUCCUGGUGUAGCGGUGAAAUGCGCAGAUAUCAGGAGGAACACCGGUGGCGAAGGCGGUUCUCUGGGAAUAUCCUGACGCU